rnacentral:lncRNA from 1 species
AGAUGCUCCACGGAUUUGCACGAACUCCCGAGUCUUGACCUCCCUCCCCUCUCCGGGCUGCCGGGACAACUCGGGGCGGCCACUCUUGCCAGGAGGCAUGUUGGAUGACAAUAACCAUCUUAUUCAGUGUAUAAUGGACUCUCAGAAUAAAGGAAAGACCUCAGAGUGUUCUCAGUAUCAGCAGAUGUUGCACACAAACUUGGUAUACCUUGCUACAAUAGCAGAUUCUAAUCAAAAUAUGCAGUCUCUUUUACCAGCAGUGUGAUUCAAGUAAGGUGAAGGAACACAUGCUUAGAGCUGUGGAACAUUUUGAAGAUUAGCAGCCACCCACACAGAAUAUGCCUAUGGGUCCUGGAGGGAUGAAUCAGAGCGGCCCUCCCCCACCUCCACGCUCUCACAACAUGCCUUCAGAUGGAAUGGUAGGUGGGGGUCCUCCUGCACCGCACAUGCAGAACCAGAUGAACGGCCAGAUGCCUGGGCCUAACCAUAUGCCUAUGCAGGGACCUGGACCCAAUCAACUCAAUAUGACAAACAGUUCCAUGAAUAUGCCUUCAAGUAGCCAUGGAUCCAUGGGAGGUUA